rnacentral:misc_RNA from 1 species
GAUGAAGAACGCAGUGAAAUGCGAUAAGUAAUGUGAAUUGCAGAAUUCAGUGAAUCAUCGAAUCUUUGAACGCACAUUGCGCCCGCCAGUAUUCUGGCGGGCAUGCCUGUUCGAGCGUCAUUACAACCCUCAGGCCCCCGGGCCUGGCGUUGGGGAUCGGCGGAGCCCCCCGUGGGCACAAGCCGUCCCCCAAAUGCAGUGGCGGUCCCGCCGCAGCUUCCAUCGCGUAGUAGCUAACACCUCGCGACUGGAGAGCGGCGCGGCCACGCCGUAAAACACCCAACUCUUCUGAAGUUGACCUCGAAUCAGGUAGGAAUACCCGCUGAACUUAAGCAUAUCAAUAAGCGGAGGA